GACGAACGCUGGCGGCGUGCUUAACACAUGCAAGUCGAACGGAAAGGCCCUGCUUUUGUGGGGUGCCCGAGUGGCGAACGGGUGAGUAACACGUGAGUAACCUGCCCUUGACUUUGGGAUAACUUCAGGAAACUGGGGCUAAUACCGGAUAGGAGCUCCUGCUGCAUGGUGGGGGUUGGAAAGUUUCGGCGGGUGUGGAUGGACUCGCGGCUUAUCAGCUUGUUGGUGGGGGAGUGGCUUACCAAGGCUUUGACGGGUAGCCGGCCUGAGAGGGUGAACGGCCACAUUGGGACUGAGAUACGGCCCAGACUCCUACGGGGGGCAGCGGUGGGGAGUAUGGCACAAUGGGCGGAAGCCUGAUGAGGCAACGCCGGGUGCGGGAUGACGGCCUUCGGGUUGAAAACCGCUUUCGCCUGUGACGAAGCGGGAGUGACGGUAAUGGGUAAAGAAGCACCGGCUAACUACGUG
rnacentral:rRNA from 1 species